rnacentral:lncRNA from 1 species
GUGUGGUUGUCAUGCUGGUGCUGCAGAACCUGUUUGGUGGCUCCACAUGCAUUCAUCUGACAGAAACCCCAUGACAGAGAGGAUGACAGUCAUAUUCACCUGGAGUUUAGAGGGGUCAACAUCAACGGCUACAGAUGCACUCACAUUAACAACAUUGGAUCUCCUGAAAACUGGUAUUCAUGACAUGUCAGUUGUAUUUAAAGAAGAGAAGACAUGAUGAAUGGAGAAAUAAAGAUUCAUGCCCUCUCAGAGACUUUGGAGGACACAGAAAAAGGAGGGGUCGUAGUCACAGGGAUCACAAAUCCAGCAAUCAACCUGAAGGAAGGAGAUCGGCUUGUUGCUGCAACCGUUCAUCUGGACCACCUCAGUAAAGAUGAAGUGCUAAAAUUGAUCAGAAUACUCGAGCCCUAUGACAAGAAUCUUGAACUCAAGACAGCAAAAGAUCUGAAAGAAGGACUGGUAAGCAACAUUGAGAAUGAAAGAAAAAGCAAAAAUAGAGAAUAAUUGGGUCUCAAUGUCUUCAUCUCAUCUUCCUCUUUAGUCUCUUGGUGAUCUUCGACUGAACAGUGAGGCAGGACUUCAAGCACCAGGUGUUCAGGUUAAUGGGCUAAAUGGACAGAUAAAUGCCCCAAGGCUUAAGGGUGGGAUCUCAA